rnacentral:rRNA from 1 species
UACGGAGGGGACUAGCGUUGUUCGGAAUUACUGGGCGUAAAGCGCACGUAGGCGGAUUUGUAAGUCAGGGGUGAAAUCCCGGGGCUCAACCUCGGAACUGCCUUUGAUACUGCAAAUCUCGAGUCCGGAAGAGGUGAGUGGAAUUCCUAGUGUAGAGGUGAAAUUCGUAGAUAUUAGGAAGAACACCAGUGGCGAAGGCGGCUCACUGGUCCGGUACUGACGCUGAGGUGCGAAAGCGUGGGGAG